rnacentral:rRNA from 1 species
CAGUCGCCGCGGUAACACGUAGGGUGCAAGCGUUAAUCGGAAUUAUUGGGCGUAAAGCGAGUGCAGACGGUUACUUAAGCCAGAUGUGAAAUCCCCAAGCUUAACUUGGGACGUGCAUUUGAAACUGGGUGACUAGAGUGUGUCAGAGGGAGGUAGAAUUCCACAUGUAGCGGUGGAAUGCGUAGAGAUGUGGAGGAAUACCGAUGGCGAAGGCAGCCUCCUGGGAUAACACUGACACUGAGAGACGAAAGCUAGGGGAGCAAAUGGGAUUAGAUACCCCGGUAGUCCCUGUCUCUUAUAC